UUUUAUUAUUUUAAGUGUUUUGAUAAUCAGAAUGCAUUUACACAGUGGUAUUGUGUAAGAGGUCACUUGGGCUUCAUGCGGUCACCACAAUGAUAAUGUCAACGCUGCAGUUAAUCGGCUUCAGAUAAGCGCAUAAUUUAUGACAUAAGCUAACUUGACUAGCUAAUGUUGUUAAUAACGUUUAGUAACAGCAGCAACCACGCAGGCAUUUGAAAAUACGGUGGUGGAUAUAAAUAACUAGAAUGCUGGCCCAACACUCUCUGUACUUGAACUAGCCGCGUACUUCAUGGUACAGCCAACAGGGGGCGAAAUCUCAUGCAUAUUUGUUUUCUUGACUGGUUUUCUUGACCAGCUUUACGGUUAACGGCUCAUGUUAGGCAGUUCUAAUGGUAUGAUAGUUUCUAAGUCAUUGCUAGAGAAUAGCGGAUCCUGUUGGCUGUUUUAUUAGGCUUUAUAUAUGUAGUUAUGAUUUUUUGGAACUGAAUGUAUUACCAGUUUUUCCUCGAGUAUAAAGUAAAAUUAUGAAACGCACACCGAUCGCAAUCAGAAGAUACUGAAAACGAUUUUAUGUCGAUACACAGUAUAGUUGUCUGGCAGUUGUAUUAAUGUGCAGGCGGAGAUCUAGUAUAUUCAGAAUACCACUAUUGUACACUUUUCAGGUUCUGCAUUUUUUUUUAAACAAAAGCUUUUUCCGAUUAUUACAUUUAAUUAGUACAGAAAGCAAGCACGGGUAAACAAAACACGUCAUAAAGGCCGACGUUCAUUACUGACAUGGAAUCUAAAUUCUUUCAGAGAAACAAUGCGAAACAUUUGUUAUUGAGAAUCCCUUUCGGCAGCAAGCUUAAUUGAAAUGUUUUCUCAUUGCCUUUGCUGUAUUUUCUGUUGUAUAGGUGUCGGUUUGUUUUUUUCUUUUUCUCCCAUGUCUCAAUUUGGUUAUUUUGCUUUGCGGUUUAGAUACCAGUCCCCACACGCGACUGCACAACCUAGCCGUAAAUUCAUAUCAGCGGUAGAAACUGUUAUACAACGUUCUGGCACAAUGACGAAACGCAUUGGUUGUAGACGUUCAGGGCGGGGCGAUUAUCCUUUUCCGCUUUCCUAUUGGUUCGUACGCCUUUUGGGGGCUUGGUUUUUGGUGGUUUUCCAGUAAAUGCCUGGUGCGUCAAUAUCCGAAACAUGUGCUUGCAGCCCCUGUAGUCACUGAAUCUAGAAGGCGCAGUCCGUGUACUCUUGAGUGGAACAGAACGUCGUGCACCAGCGACCACAGUGAUGAAUUUAUGGCUGCCAAACCAACCGGCAGUAACAAAAUAAUUCGGACUGCAUUGCCGAAACGGUGCUGUCAGUGGACGGAGUGAUCGAAACGGUGCGUCGGAAUCGUUACUAUGAGAAGCCGUGUCGGCAGCGGCAGCGGGAGAACUACGAGACGUGCCGACGGAUUUACCACUCGGAGAUGGCCAGGAAGAUCGC